GCUGGUGUCCUAAAGAAGUAGAGAAGAAAGAAGAAUGUUGGGAACAAGUGGCCAAUAAUUUAGUUCCUCAAAUUCACAAUGACUCGAGGGCCAUAAUAGAAAAUAGUUAUAAGAUUUUACCCUAUCAUUUAAGGUCUUGCUUUCUUUAUUUUGGAGCAUUUUUAGAGGACAGCGUGAUUAAUGUUUCGAAGUUAACCUUUCUUUAUUUUGGAGCAUUUUUAGAGGACAACGUGAUUAAUGUUUCGAAGUUAAUACGGCUGUGGAUCUCAGAAGGAUUCAUAAAAAGUUGCGAAGGCAAGAACUUGGAAGAUAUAGCAGAAGGUUAUUUGGCAA
rnacentral:lncRNA from 1 species